rnacentral:rRNA from 1 species
GACGAACGCUGGCGGCGUGCUUAACACAUGCAAGUCGAACGGAAAGGCCCUGCUUUUGUGGGGUGCUCGAGUGGCGAACGGGUGAGUAACACGUGAGUAACCUGCCCUUUACUUUGUGAUAACUUCAGGUAACUUGGGCUAAUACCUGAUAUGAGCUCCUGCUGCAUUGUGUGGGUUGGAAAGUUUCGGCGGUUGGGGAUGGACUCGCGGCUUAUCAGCUUGUUUGUGGGGUAGUGGCUUACCAAGGCUUUGACGGGUAGCCGGCCUGAGAGGGUGACCGGGAAAAUUGGGACUGAGAUACGGCCAAGAAUGCAACGGGAGGCAGCAGGGGGGAAUAUUGCACAAUGGGCGGAAGCAUGAUGCAGCAACGCAGCGUGCGGGAUGACGGCCUUCGGGUUGUAAACCGAUUUCGAAUGUGACGAAGCGUGAGUGACGGUAAUGGGUAAAGAAGCACCGGCUAACUACGUG